UGACGCAAACGUGGUAUUUUCGCGUGAGAAUGAGAUCCUACUUUCACUUCAGCUGAGGCUCGACUCCCAUUUCUGCUAAACACACACACCACAUAUACACACACACACACACAGCAACACGGAGUGCAAAGUAUUAUUUACUUCUCACAAGUUAGUUUCAAAGAUUUUGUGAACACACAAGAAAAACGUCACUGACAGCUUUCUUUUGAACUCGACAUGAAUUCAGUCUGUGUCCAAUGAGAAGAAAGAACCAGAGUUUGAUUGUAUUCUGUAAUAGGUUUUAAAAACUGAGUCGUGUGCUUUGCACAUUUUGUCACGUUAAAACCACAAACUUUAACGUUUUGCAAUGGGAUUUUAUUUAAUCUUAAUUGUAAUUCGCCUAAAUACAAUCCAUUGCUUUCAGUUGCCUUUAAAAGAUUUUAA